rnacentral:rRNA from 1 species
AUUGAACGCUGGCGGCAUGCCUAACACAUGCAAGUCGAACGAGUGGCGGACGGGUGAGUAGUGUCUGGACAACUGCCUGAUGGAGGGGGCUAACUGCUGGAACCGGUAGCUAAUACCGCAUACCAUCGGAUGUGCCCAGGUGGGAUUAGCUAGUAGGUGGGGUAACGCCUCACCUAGGCGACGAUCCCUAGCUGGUCUGAGAGGGUGACCAGCCACACUGGAACUGAGACACGGCCCAGACUCCUACGGGAGGCAGCAGUGGGGAAUAUUGCACAAUGGGCGAAAGCCUGAUACAGCAAUGCCGCGUGUGUGAAGAAGGCCUUCGGGUUGUAAAGUACUUUUAGCGGGGAGGCGGUACCCAAAGAGGAAGCACCGGCUAACUACGUGCCAGCCGCCGCGGUAAUAC